CCUACGGGUGGCAGCAGUGAGGAAUAUUGGUCAAUGGACGAGAGUCUGAACCAGCAAAGUAGCGUGAAGGAUGACUGCCCUAUGGGUUGUAAACUUCUUUUAUAUGGGAAUAAAAUGUUCCACGUGUGGGAUUUUGUAUGUACCAUAUGAAUAAGGAUCGGCUAACUCCGUGCCAGCAGCCGCGGUAAUACGGAGGAUCCGAGCGUUAUCCGGAUUUAUUGGGUUUAAAGGGAGCGUAGGUGGAUUGUUAAGUCAGUUGUGAAAGUUUGCGGCUCAACCGUAAAAUUGCAGUUGAAACUGGCAGUCUUGAGUACAGUAGAGGUGGGCGGAAUUCGUGGUGUAGCGGUGAAAUGCUUAGAUAUCACGAAGAACUCCGAUUGCGAAGGCAGUUCACUGGACUGCAACUGACACUGAGGCUCGAAAGUGUGGGUAUCAAACAGGAUUAGAUACCCGAGUAGUC
rnacentral:rRNA from 1 species